GGGGCGUUAGCGCAGUUGGGAGCGCACAACACUGGCAGUGUUGGGGUCAGGGGUUCAAAUCCCCUACGCUCCACCA
rnacentral:tRNA from 1 species